rnacentral:rRNA from 1 species
GUUAGGAAUAUUGGACAAUGGGCGAAAGCCUGAUCCAGCCAUGCCGCGUGAACGAUGAAGGCCUUCGGGUUGUAAAGUUCUUUAGCCGAUGAUUAUAAUGACUGUAGUCGGAAAAUAAGCCCCGGCUAACUUCGUGCCAGCAGCCGCGGUAAUACGAAGGGGGCGAGCGUUAUUCGGAAUCACUGGGCGUAAAGCGUGCGUAGGCGGCUUUGCAAGUUGGGAGUGAAAGCCCAGGGCUCAACCCUGGAAUUGCUCUCAAAACUGCAAGGCUCGAAUUCGGGAGAGGAUAGCGGAAUUGUCAGUGUAGCAGUGAAAUGCGUAGAUAUUGACAGGAACACCAGUGGCGUAAGCGGCUAUCUGGACCGAUAUUGACGCUGAGGCACGAAAGCGUGGGGAUCAAACAGGAUUAGAUACCCUAGUAGUCC